rnacentral:rRNA from 1 species
AUUGAACGCUGGCGUCAUGCCUUACACAUGCAAGUCGAACGGUAACGCGGGGCAACCUGGCGACGAGUGGCGAACGGGUGAGUAAAGCAUCGGAACGUGCCCAGUAGUGGGGGAUAGCCCGGCGAAAGCCGGAUUAAUACCGCAUACGACCUAUGGGUGAAAGGGGGGGAUCGCAAGACCUCUCGCUAUUGGAGCGGCCGAUGUCAGAUUAGGUAGUUGGUGGGGUAAAGGCCUACCAAGCCGACGAUCUGUAGCUGGUCUGAGAGGACGACCAACCACACUCGGACUGAGGCACGGCCCAGACUCCCACGGGAGGCAGCAGGGGGGAAUUUCUGACAAUGGGGGAAAGCCUGCUCCAGCCAUGCCGCGUGCGGGAAGAAGGCCUUCGGGUUGUAAACCGCGUUUGUGAGGGAAGAAAUCCUUUGGGUUAAUACCUCGGGGGGAUGACGGUACCUGAAGAAUAAGCACCGGCCAACUACGUGCCAUCCGCCGCCGUAA